rnacentral:snRNA from 1 species
GCGCUUUAGAAGCACAUAUACUAAAAUUGGAAUGAUAGAAAAGACUAGCAUGGUCCCUUACAAGGAUGGCACACAAAUUCAUGAAGCAUUCUGUGCUGAG